rnacentral:lncRNA from 1 species
GCUCCGAGAAGCUGAGCCCUCACCCCGACAUUCGCAAUUUGUGGACCAUGGCCUCGCUGUCCGAGUCACAAAUGAACGUGCCGCUGUCCCAGGUCUGCAACAAAUACUACGAGGAGGUCACAGUCCCGGGCGACAAAACUCGCCGGCGGGCCAGCUUGAAGGGCCGCUGGAAGGACGAUGGGGAGUCCCUUUCUCUGAGGGACAAGGUCAGCUUCAAGACAGAGAAUACGGAAUUGAGCUCCGGCAGCUCCCAGCAAAACCGUGUGGAUGAGAAUACCAAUUCCGAGUUAGAAAGCUCUUCUUCAGUUUCAGUGAUCAGUUUUUCGAAGUACAUGCCCCAUCGAGCCUACUGGGCAGAGCAACAGAACAGGGUUGGAGGGGCCCAGGGAAAGGGGUAGGGGAUGUUAUG